GCCUACGGGGCGCAGCAGUGAGGAAUAUUGGUCAAUGGGCUUACGCCUGAACCAGCCAAGUCACGUGAGGGAAGACUGCCCUAUGGGUUGUAAACCCCUUUUGUCAGGGAGCAACGCCGGCUACGUGUAGCCGGACUGAGAGUACCUGAAGAAAAAGCAUCGGCUAACUCCGUGCCAGCAGCCGCGGUAAUACGGAGGAUGCGAGCGUUAUCCGGAUUUAUUGGGUUUAAAGGGUGCGUAGGCGGACUGCCAAGUCAGCGGUAAAAUAGCGGGGCUCAACCUCGUUCCGCCGUUGAAACUGGCGG
rnacentral:rRNA from 1 species